rnacentral:misc_RNA from 1 species
UUUCCGUAGGUGAACCUGCGGAAGGAUCAUUAAAUAGUACCACAGAUUACAUAUGCAAAUAUGACAAUCUACUACUAUAUACCAUUCCGAGUACUCUUUUUCCAUGUUGCUUCCGCGAGGCAGUCACUUCAAGUGGCCGUUUGCUCCGGAUCUCCCUUCUUGGAGAGCCGGCUGUGGGCGAGAUUUCCUUGCGAAAGGUCAAUUACAAAUCCAAUUAUGUUUUUAUUUUGUGUCUGAAUAGAUUUUUUUUUUUCUUUCUUUUUUUAAUUAAUAAAUACAAAAAAAAUAAAAUAAAAUACAAAACUUUCAACAACGGAUCUCUUGGUUCUC